ACUGUCUCUAGAAAAUUUAUUAUUAAAAUUAACUUUUAAGUUAAAAGGCUUAAAUUUUACUUAAAGACGAGAAGACCCUAUAGAGUUUUAUACCUAUAAUUAUAAUGAGUACUUGGUUAUUUUAUUUUCUUGUCUUAUUAGGUAUUUGGUUGGGGUGACUUAAAGAUUAAAUAAACUCUUUAAAUUUAUAAUCAUUGAUUUGUGAAUUUAUAAUCUAGUUUUUUAAAGUUAAAAUAAAUUACCUUAGGGAUAACAGCGUAAUUUCUUUUUAGAGUUCUUAUUGAAAGAGAAGU
rnacentral:rRNA from 1 species